GAUGAACGCUGGCGGCGUGCUUAACACAUGCAAGUCGAACGAAGCACUUAAGACAGAUUCUUUCGGGAUGAAGACUUUUGUGACUGAGUGGCGGACGGGUGAGUAACGCGUGGGUAACCUGCCUUAUACAGGGGGAUAGCAGUUGGAAAUGACUGGUAAUACCGCAUAAGCGCACAGUACCGCAUGGUACAGUGUGAAAAACUCCGGUGGUAUAAGAUGGACCCGCGUCUGAUUAGCUGGUUGGCAGGGUAACGGCCUACCAAGGCGACGAUCAGUAGCCGACCUGAGAGGGUGACCGGCCACAUUGGGACUGAGACACGGCCCAGACUCCUACGGGAGGCAGCAGUGGGGAAUAUUGCACAAUGGAGGAAACUCUGAUGCAGCGACGCCGCGUGAGUGAAGAAGUAUUUCGGUAUGUAAAGCUCUAUCAGCAGGGAAGAU
rnacentral:rRNA from 1 species